UCUCCAACUGAAAGAAGUGUUUAAUGCAUCACAAUUGGUAUUGAUAGGUAAACGGACACUGCUAAAAAUCAGAGGAUUACUAUGCUACCUAAACUAGGGAUGUUACUGAAUUUUGUAAUUCAUUGCCUUGGAAUAUAAAUCUUCCUUGCCAUUGACAAUUCUUCAACUCAAUUUGAUUGCAAUUCAAGGCAGAGAAGAACUAUGUUCCUAUUGCCACCAACAAUGGUGCCAGAUUGCCAGAUUGCUGCUAUGGUAGUAAGCCAAGCACCAGCAAUGCUGGGAAAUGUAAAUAAAAAUCACCAAGUGCUAGGAAAACUACAAUUGCAACCCCUGGCUUGUUGUGUAAGUAGCAUGAAAUGGGAAGGUAUACCUGCAGAUCAGUGAUGGGACGGAGUUUGAUGGAGUUUGCCCACUUUCACCCUAAAUGUGUCACAUGGUGACUUUACUGUGGAGGCUAUGAGAGCAGGGUAUAAGCCGGAAUGGAAACUCCUUUUCAGUAUGAGGAACAUGCUGAAUGGGCAUACCAGUGGUGGGCAUGGCUAGAGGCUAAAAGCUGGUGUAGCAACAGACGGGGCUCUUGCCUUUGUACAACAGGAUACAGUCAAGCCAUGCACAAUUCAGAGAUUUCUAGGCACGUAUCUAUCCAUCCAUGCAAUUAAGAAGCACCAUCACAAUUAAGGACACAUUCAAGCCAAGCAGAAGCACACAAGGAAGGGAUUAAGCAGGGCCAGUGAGGGGUAUGCCCUGGAGAGAGUCUCUCAAGGACUGGGCAGAGGGCUGAAGGCCACAUUUUAUCCCUUGGCCUGAAGUUCCCCACCCCUUGUAUAACACAACACUCCCUCAACCCAUUUCAAAAAGCUAUUUUCUGAAAUGGCUUUCCUUCCUAGAACAAAUAUGCACUCAGGUUUCGGUCAAACACAAUAAGGACAAAAACAAGUGAAUUUCUCCUUCAUUCCGCCCUUAAUGCAAUAAAUACAGCAUUUGCUGCAUCCUGCUAUUAUCAAAUAUCGUUUCUUAAGAGGAAAGCUAAUUUGUUCUUGCCAAGAGAUUUAUUGAUAAGAGCUGUUCUGCACACAUUACACAAAUCCAAUCUUUUGGCAACAAUGAGAUCAAAACUUGCCUCAACGCAUGAUUCAGACAGAUAACUUUAUAAGCAGAAGAGUGCCACAGGGUUUACUUUUAUGCAAUUGCGAGCCACAGAAGGAUAUUUGGACCAAUGAAUAACAUUAAUCUUUCUUGUUUUCUGUAUGAAAUUGACUGCAGACAGGCCCAGCAGCAAAAGCAGAAGUCUGGCAAAGAAGUGAAAAGUUCCCAUCUAUAUGCAUUGGAUCAUUAUUAAUUUCUUUUAAAAAUCUUAAUCUACACUAAAACUAAACCACCGUUCCAAAUUAUCAAUUUCUUUAACAUGCUAUUUAAACAUCAAAUACAUAGUUGAGUAUUUAAAAUGCAUAGAGAAUGUUCAUUUCCAGUGAACAGGAUGGCUUUUUAUCUUCAGUGAAAUCCUGAUAAUCUACAGCUUCUAUAUUUCACCAUGAAAUGUUCAAGCUUCAGCACCAGCAAACAAUCAUUUCCUUUUUCUAGCACUGUACUCUGACUGGUAGCAGCUAUUGGUGUGGCUGUUCCGGCAGACAGGAAAAGUCCCCUUUCCUCUUAUAGUUGUGGGGAGCGAUACAGGAUGGAACACCGAAAAAAACCUUGUAACUGCGCCAAUGCAACCAAAGCAGAAAGCUAUGAUCAGCCUGUCUCCAAGUCCAAACAAGUACAUUUUCCAGAGUUUCACAUUUUACAUAUUUUUUCAAAGAUUGUAUUUUCAGUAGAUUUCCACUUAGCAUAGGAUACUUUACAUCAUGGUCGAGACUGCUCUUGGUCACCUACUCUUAUCAGUUUCAGAACACCUCUGGAGGCCUUAAAUCUGUAUGGAAGACCAGACCACCCAGAUCUCACUCGAGUGCAACUACACCACUUGUGGUUUUCCAUAGCCACAUGGCAGGGCUGGCUAGUCCACAGGUUUCAGCUGUCCUCCCACAGCCGACAACAGGGAAACACCAAAACAUUAUUUUGGAAGUGGUAGCACAAAAGGAAACUUCCCUGACAAAAGUGGAGCUCCUUUUCAUGCCAGAAGUUGAGGCAUCCGGAAGUCAAGGUACCACUGUACAACUGUCAUCAGCUCCAGGAAGAUCAAUGAUCAGAGAUUGUGGAAGUUGUACUCCAAAACAUCUAGAAGGUGUAAUGUUGGUUUUCUCUUUUCUAGAGCUAACUUUGGGGGUGGGAGGGGCUAAGUAAUGUUGGUGUUGUGGCUUUCCCUAAAACAUCAUAACACCGUAGAUUGGCAAAGCUGUUAAAAUAAUCAUGCAGAAGAAACACAUGUAGAUGUUCAUAGUUUCAUCACAGCUACCUUUAUUGGGGAGGAGACAGAAGCCAUGAAAUAAGCUUGUGCCCAUAGUAGUACAAUUAUAUGUACUUUCUAAGUGAGGGAGGAAGGGGAAGAGUUCAGGAAUGAGUGCUGAAGUCAUUCUUUGAACACUAGGAUCUAGGAAGAAUCAAAUUAAAUCGAGAAAGGGGAAGAAGGAAGAGGAAAGAUUCAACUUACAAAAAUGCUAUCGAAAAGGGAAGGUUCAGUAGGAAUGGUUGUACUGCAACAAAAUAGGCAAGAGGAGCCUUUCAUAUUUGUUAUCAAAGAAAACUAUGUUUUUAAAAGCCAGAGAAGUGCACAUGCUUAUUUGUCUGUUGUUACCUCUGUAUUCUCUUCAAGCUGUAGCUGCCUGGCAACAGCCUCAUCAUCUAGUGUGGGAUCCCUGCUUUGUGACAGCUGCACCGCAAAGAGAGAAGAAUCACAGGGGAGCUCACAGUGAACCCAUUACUUAGACAAGCAUCAUGGAAUAAUGACCGAGAAGAAAAAUCAUAAAGCCUCAACCUAAAUGCCUGUGCUUAAAACAAGAAGCAAGUGGAACAGGAAUUGUACAGGGAGGAAAUCUAAUUCUAGGUGAUAAAGACGUUUUCAAAGCAACAUUUCAGAGAACCUAAUGCUAAGAAUAUUGAUCACAUAUUUUAGUGUGCCGGCAUAUUGAUUCUGGACAUUCAUCACAUUUUAUUGCACAACAAUGCCACAUCCCAUAGGCAGACACCAAAAUGCUAGGCACAGACAAGGAAGUGAGAAUUAAGGGCUUUGCUUUCCUCUUCUUCCUGACUGGCACAGACUCAAAGUGCAUGGUACUUGAACACUGGAAAGUCAGCACUCCCCACACAACAAAUGGACUAAUGUUUUGCAUUCCUUGCCCAAAUAUGAAUAGGCCUUGUAUCAACAUGAGUGUAAAGAGGACAGAUAUGAAAGCAUCUGGUCAGCUUGUCUUGAGAUUUAUGGUCAAUAGUUGUCAGUAGCAGACACUGGUAAGAGUCACACCAUACCUUUAAGGAUACUGGGAACUGUAGUUUGUUAAGGGUGCUGGGAGGCCAGAAUCCUUAGUAAACUACAGCUCACAGGUUUCUCCAUGGUGGUUAUGGUGCCAUAAAAGCACUUUAAAUGCAUGAUGUAGCUGUGAACAUCGCUUCCUAUUCCAUUUCAUGCAUCUUAAAUGACAUAACCCACCUUCCUCAUCUCUUAUUUGUAUCAGAAUAUCUCUUCUUUUAAAACGGUUACUCUCUUUAUAUAGGGAGCAGUCUCCCUCAUUUUCCUUAAUUUGAUAUUACGCGGCAAACUGCCAUUUCCAAAAUCCACUUAAGGUGCUCUUCUCACACCCUAAUAAAAGGAAGUCUAGAUGAAACGGACCACACACCAAUAGUUUAUUCAUGAAGUUCAUGAACUCUCCUGCUCAUAAGCACACAUCAGCUAGAAGAGUCACCCUCUUGCAUUACUCACUUCUUUUCGUUUGCUUGACACCAGUUUCUUCUCUGAUCGCUGAAUGCUACCAGUUCCAAAGUAAUCGAUUACAGAGGUUGGUGUCAGUUUUACUGGAGAUAGGGGUUUACUUUUCAGUUUUGGUUUGGGAUCAGUCUUUGAUGCUCCAGAUGCCCCAAAACGAAUAGCCGCAGAUGUCCCAUUUUCCUUGGGUUUGGGAGCGACCUUCUUAUUAACAAAGUCCUCUUCUUCAUCUGCAUGCCAAGAAAGAAAUAUAUUUAAUUACUCCUCAGCACCAAAACACCAACCUGAAAGUAAUGUUUCCUUACUAAGGAAAUAUAUAUAUUAAAAAAUCCAAAGGGCCCAGAGUCUCAACCUGUUAUUAGGCCUCUCUCAACCAUUUCCCCCACACAGAAAGAAAAAUAUUUUCUUGGGUAUGGCCUUGGAAGGGAGACCCUAUGCAAAAAAGAUGGAGAUUAUCUCCAUCUAUUUGCACAGGUGCUGCUUUUAGAGGCUGCACCCUGAAAAACUGCUGCACCAAGUGCAUAACUACACUCUGCACAAUGACCUGUGGUCCAAAGGGUCUUUGGUAGUGGGUGGCUGUUGGGUCUCUAGCAGGGUUUAUACCAUAUGCAGCCUUUCAAAACAGGGGUAAAAGGGGAAAUCUUGUCUGCCAUGCAUUUAAAUCUGGGUGCUUUCAAUGUUCACAUCUCCCCUGCAGAGACCUUGAUCAAGCCCACAAAGCUCAGUCCCAGGCCUGACCCCAACAACCUUUGGUGACAUUUCAAGAACCAAGCUAAUGUCCACAUUCAGCAGCUGUGUCUUUGGCAGCAAUCAUUUCUGUGCUGAAAAUGAAGCACAGCCCGUUCUGAACGUGGAGAUCCUUCCUGUGACACUUAACCUCUUUGCUUGGUCAUCACCCUGUUCUCAAUGCUAUGUGAGCAGGCCUUUUCCUCCAGAGAUGCAAGAAUUGCAAUUAUACAGCCCUCUUAUCUGAAGAGAAAUGUUAAAACCUUGAGCUGCAAUAAAAACAUAAAACUGAAUCUAUUUAAAUAUUAGUCCCAUUUUAUUACUUCUCUAGAGAAAUUAAAACAAACACGGACAUGUCUUCAUAUCACAGCAACAGCCACCCUAGCUACUGUGUCUUGCUGCCCAUACAAUAUGAUCAUAAGAAUAGCACGUAUAUUAAAACCAUUGAACCAGCUUCCAGGGCAGAAGAGAGAGCCAGUGAAUCCUUCUGAUGGUUGCAUUGUUUCUUAAGGGCACAUUUUAGUUUUCAGACAAGCUUAAAAAGGACACUUCACUGAAAGAUCUGAAGCUGGUAUUUGAGUAGGUGAGGCAGAAAUGGCCUCCUCCAGUCCCAGCUCUGUCAUCCCUGUUUUCCCCCUACCUCUUGCUAAUAUAUUACAUGUGAAACCCUUACUUCUGCUUCACUGUGGCUGCUAUUUUGUAAUUAGAAAGACUACUACAGCGGGUGGCUUGCCGAUCAAAAGGUCGGUGGUUCGAAUCCCCGUGACAGGGUGAGCUCCCGUUGCUUGGUCCCAGCUCCUGCCCACCUAGCAGUUUGAAAGCACGUCAAAGUGCAAGUAGAUAAAUAGGUACCGCUCCAAGUGGGAAGGUAAACAGCGUUUCUGUGUGCUGCUCUGGUUUCGCCAGAAGGGGCUGUCAUGCUGGCCACAUGACCCGGAAAAACUGCCUCUGGACAAAUGUCAGUUCCCUCGGCCAGUAAAGCGAGAUGAGCGCCGCAACCCCAGAGUCGUCCGCGACUGGACCUAACGGUCAGGGGUCCCUUUACCCUUUACCUUUACUACAAAUCAGGCAUGGAUGACAUUCCCAGACUUUUGCUUCCUCUGAUGGUGAAAAGCUUUGGUAUAUAAGAAUCAGUAAGAUUUUAUUCUGGUCUCUGUGAACUUUGUUUUCAGUGUUUCAGAAUUUCCAGUUUCCAAUAAACACCAGGGUCCUUCCUCAAAAAUCUUCCAUGAUCAGUAAUGAAAGUCUGAUCUGGCAAAUAGCAAGCAGUUUUGUUGAAAAGCAAAGCUACCCACCAACUCCGGAGACACAAAACCAAACUGACUAAGGAAAUGCCAGAGCUCAAAGGGGAAGGGGGGAAGAGGUAGAACGGAUCUUUUGCUUUAAAUCAGUCAAUUAAUUUCCCAAGACACUCCAAUGACAGAGGUUUGGUGGGAUUACAAACUGUUUUCAUGUGGAGCAAUGCCUUUCUCUAGGGAAGGAAAUAGAGAUCUGCAUUUUAUUCCCAAAAAUCCAUGGUAGUAGCAGAAGCCCACAUCCACCAAUGACUAUAAGGGUAAGGUUCUAAAGGUUCUUGCUGGUGGGUGACAUUGGUCCCAUCUCAGUGUUCCCUGGGGAUCCAUGUUCCUUUUUCUAACACCACCCUAUGAUCCUAUUAUAGCUAUCCCCAAACUGUAAAGCCUGCCUUUACAAAAGAAACAUAGCUGCUAUGUCAUCCCCUCAGAAGGGAUAACAAUGCCUGCAAAUUGCAGCCAAAUCUGGCAGUAAACAAAAAACAGUGUUAUUGACUUGUCAUUUGCUUUU